CCCUCACCCGGAUGUGCUUCCCGCGUACUUCCGGUCCCGUGGGUGUGCGUGACCGCCAGGGUGAUGGCCUGGCCUUGAGCUCUUCGUGAACGCAUCCCAGCCAGCCCUGGCUGCCCACACUGCCAGAGCCAGCAGUCGGUGCAGGUCAAAGGUGUCUCAUCCAGGACCCUGGCCUUGGGCGAAGAAAAAUUACUUGUUCCCUACAACAGACAAAAAGUGAGGAGAGGGAUUCUGUGUCCAGCCAUGUAGAGAAGAUGCUGAGUUAAGCAAACAUAAAUCAAGUUUCUUUACUGUGGGGUUCUCAGAGAUUAGUGUGCUAAUAUACUGCCUGACUCUCCAAGCUCGGAGAGUGGUCAAAAGCGUGGUCCACAGAGCUGUCUUUAUUCCAGAGCACUGAGGGACUAGGCUUGCGAGCUCUGCAAACCCAGAGCAGGAGGCCAUCCAGGAAAUUAAUCUGCACACCUACAUCAGGAAGACUGGAAAGCGACAUCAUCAUCUGGGUCCUUUUGCAUGUGGACUCCUAAGCUUCAUGGGAGAAAUGUUAAGGAGGACAUUGGAACUCAUCUUUGAGCCCAGGAAACGGGAAGUUGAGUCUACAAAAACAAAACAAAAAUGUAGUUAAAAAAAAAAAAAAAUCAGAUCCCAAAUCCCAGCCAUAGCUGA